GAUGAACGCUGGCGGCGUGCUUAACACAUGCAAGUCGAACGGAAAGGCUCCUGCUUGCAGGGGUACUCGAGUGGCGAACGGGUGAGUAACACGUGGGUGAUCUGCCCUGCACUUCGGGAUAAGCCUGGGAAACUGGGUCUAAUACCGGAUAGGACGAUGGUUUGGAUGCCAUUGUGGAAAGUUUUUCGGUGUGGGAUGAGCUUGCGGCCUAUCAGCUUGUUGGUGGGGUAAUGGCCUACCAAGGCGUCGACGGGUAGCCGGCCUGAGAGGGUGUACGGCCACAUUGGGACUGAGAUACGGCCCAGACUCCUACGGGAGGCAGCAGUGGGGAAUAUUGCACGAUGGGCGCAAGCCUGAUGAAGCGACGCCGCGUGGGGGAUGACGGCCUUAGGGUUGUAAAAUCCUUUCGCUAGGGACGAAGCGUUUUGUGACGGUACCUGGAGAAGAAGCACCGGCUAACUACGUG
rnacentral:rRNA from 1 species